AUACAACUUUCAACAACGGAUCUCUUGGCUCUCGCAUCGAUGAAGAACGCAGCGAAAUGCGAUAAGUAAUGUGAAUUGCAGAAUUCAGUGAAUCAUCGAAUCUUUGAACGCACCUUGCGCCCUUUGGCAUUCCGAAGGGCACACCUGUUUGAGUGUC
rnacentral:rRNA from 1 species